AGUUAACGUUGGCGGCGUGCCUAACACAUGCAAGUCGAACGCGCCGUAGCAAUACGGUGAGUGGCGAACGGGUGAGUAACACGUGGGUAAUCUUCCUUUAAGUGGGGAAUAAGCUCUCGAAAGGGAGUCUAAUACCGCAUGACGUUCCGGGACACAUGUCCCGUAACCAAAGCCGCAAGGCGCUUGAAGAUGAGCCUGCGUCCUAUUAGCUGGUUGGUGGGGUAAUGGCCUACCAAGGCUCAGAUGGGUAGCCGGCCUGAGAGGGUGAACGGCCACACUGGAACUGAGACACGGUCCAGACUCCUACGGGUGGCUG
rnacentral:rRNA from 1 species